UACGUAGGGGGCUAGCGUUGUCCGGAAUCAUUGGGCGUAAAGAGCGUGUAGGCGGCCCCGGUAAGUCCGCUGUAAAAGUCAAAGGCUCAACCUUUGAAUGUCAGUGGAUACUGCCGGGCUAGAGUGCGGAAGAGGCGAGUGGAAUUCCUGGUGUAGCGGUGAAAUGCGCAGAUAUCAGGAGGAACACCUAUUGCGAAGGCAGCUCGCUGGGACGUAACUGACGCUGAGACGCGAAAGCGUGGGGAGCAAACAGG
rnacentral:rRNA from 1 species